GUCCGAUGCUAAAGACUGGGGCUCAACCCCAGGGGUGCGUUGGAUACUGUGAGGCUAGACGGUCGGAGGGGGUAGCGGAAUUUCCGGAGUAGCGGUGAAAUGCGCAGAUACCGGAAGGAACGCCAAUAGCGAAGGCAGCUACCUGGACGACUUGUGACGCUGAGGCGCGAAAGUGUGGGGAGCAAACCGGAUUAGAUACCCGGGUAGUCCACGCCCUAAACCAUGAGUGCUGGGUGUCCGGCUUCUGCUGGGUGCCGUAGCUAACGCGCUAAGCACUCCGCCUGGGAAGUACGCACGCAAGUGUGAAACUCAAAGGAAUUGACGGGGGCCCGCACAAGCGGUGGAGCAUGUGGUUUAAUUCGAAGCGACGCGAAGAACCUUACCAGGCCUUGACAGGCCCGGAACCCCUCUGAAAGGAGGGGGUGCCCGCAAGGGAGCCGGGACACAGGUGCUGCAUGGCCGUCGUCAGCUCGUGUCGUGAGAUGUUGGGUUAAGUCCCGCAACGAGCGCAACCCCUAUCCCUAGUUGCCAGCAGUUCGGCUGGGCACUCUAUGGAGACUGCCUGCGAAAGCAGGAGGAAGGCGGGGAUGACGUCUGGUCCGCAUGGCCCUUACGGCCUGGGCGACACACGUGCUACAAUGCCAAGGACAGAGCGCUGCUACCUCGCGAGAGGACGCCAAUCGCAAAAACCUUGGCUCAGUUCGGAUUGGAGUCUGCAACUCGACUCCAUGAAGCCGGAAUCGCUAGUAA
rnacentral:rRNA from 1 species